rnacentral:rRNA from 1 species
GGGGCAGCGGGGUAGUGCUUGCACUACUGCCGGCGACCGGCGCACGGGUGAGUAACACGUAUGGAACCUGCCCGCAGCAGGGGGAUAAGCGGAAGAAAUUCCGUCUAAUACCGCGUAACAACGUUGGGAGGCAUCUCCCGAUGUUUAAAGAUUUAUCGGCUGCGGAUGGCCAUGCGGCGCAUUAGCUAGUCGGCGGGGUAACGGCCCACCGAGGCGACGAUGCGUAGGGGUUCUGAGAGGAAGGUCCCCCACACUGGUACUGAGACACGGACCAGACUCCUACGGGAGGCAGCAGUGAGGAAUAUUGGUCAAUGGCCGAGAGGCUGAACCAGCCAAGUCGCGUGAGGGAAGACGGCCCUACGGGUUGUAAACCUCUUUUGUCGGGGAGCAAAGAGAGCCACGUGUGGCUCAUUGAGAGUACCCGAAGAAAAAGCAUCGGCUAACUCCGUGCCAGCAGCCGCGGUAAUACGGAGGAUGCGAGCGUUAUCCGGAUUUAUUGGGUUUAAAGGGUGCGCAGGCGGAGGUGCAAGUCAGCGGUCAAAUUGCGGGGCUCAACCCCGUACUGCCGUUGAAACUGCAUCCCUUGAGUGCGCGAGAAGUAUGCGGAAUGCGUGGUGUAGCGGUGAAAUGCAUAGAUAUC